UGGAAAACAGAAGCGGUGAACCGAGCGUAAACGCGAGAGCGAGCGCAUUGCAUGUCUCAUUAGCAGGUAAAGGCAAGAGUGGACGGCCGGUGGAACGCGAAAACGCGUUCUCCAGAGACGACGGCGACCAUAAGGAUGUUUAAUAACAGGACCAACAUUAUCCUAGAAAUUGCUUGGCGGCCGCCUGGCGCGAGCCAGCCUCGCAAUUUCGUUCUCGGCAAGAACGAGCUACUAAAUCCUGAGGAAAAGUGUCCUCGCCGGCGUAUCGCCGUCAGUCAGAUCGCAUAAUCGGCGAUUUUUUUCUCCGGGACGAGCUGACGUAUUAUUCGCAUUAUAGUGCAACUCAUGAACAACAAACAGCGAUAAAGCAGAUUUCAAAUUAAAUAUUAAAACCAUAUAUCAAAUAAUAAUACUUUUAUGUAU